GUUCCUAUAGUAGAAUUUCGAGCUGUGUGGAAAGGUGUCAUAUGAAAUACGAAUUAAAAAAAAACUCAUAUUAUCCUCGAAAGAAGAUACUUUGAAAGUUGUCAGUUGGCUAUUUAGAUCAGCAUCUUUAGAGUUCAGUACCCAUCCACUAUAUAAGAUUGUUGGAAGAUAGGGAUAAGCCUACAAUCUUUUAGAAUGACACAUGUUUAUAUAGAGAC
rnacentral:lncRNA from 1 species